GGCGGCGUGCCUAACACAUGCAAGUCGUACGAGAAAGUCGGCUUCGGCUGAUGAGUAAAGUGGCGCACGGGUGAGUAACGCGUGGAUAAUCUGCCUUUUAGUUGGGAAUAACGUACCGAAAGGUGCGCUAAUACCGGAUAAUACUGCAUAACUACUGUUGUGUAGUCAAAGAAGGCCUCUGUUUACAAGCUUUUGCUGAAAGAUGAGUCCGCGUACCAUUAGCUAGUUGGUAGGGUAAUGGCCUACCAAGGCUACGAUGGUUAGCUGGUCUGAGAGGAUGAUCAGCCACACUGGAACUGAGACACGGUCCAGACUCCUACGGGAGGCAGCAGUGAGGAAUAUUGCGCAAUGGGGGAAACCCUGACGCAGCAACGCCGCGUGAGUGAGGAAGGCCUUCGGGUCGUAAAGCUCUGUCAGAUGGGAAGAAAUGGAUGGGGGCUAAUAUCGCCCAUCCUUGACGGUACCAUCAGAGGAAGCACCGGCUAACUCCGUG
rnacentral:rRNA from 1 species